UACGUAGGCAGCAAGCGUUGUUCGGAGUUACUGGGCGUAAAGAGUAUGUAGGCGGUUGCUUAAGUUUGGUGUGAAAUCUCCCGGCUUAACUGGGAGGGUGCGCCGAAAACUGAGCGGCUGGAGUGCCGGAGAGGAACGCGGAAUUCCUGGUGUAGUGGUGAAAUACGUAGAUAUCUGGAGGAACACCGGUGGCGAAGGCGGCUACCUGGCCCAACAUUGACGCUGAGACCCGAAAGCAUGGGGAUCAAACAGG
rnacentral:rRNA from 1 species